AGUGAACGCUGGCGGCAGGCCUAACACAUGCAAGUCGAACGAACAGAUGGGGAGCUUUCGCCUCUGACGGUAGCGGCGGACGGAAGGGUAACACAUGGAUAGAAUACCUCUAUGACAGGGAUGAUAACGGGGAAAAGGUGCUAAUACUGGAUAAUAUAUCGAACGGCAUGAAUCAAGAGUGCAAGACGGUUUUGGUGUUAGUUAGAGACGCAUCCGGGUCGCAUUAGCUAGUUGGUAAGGUAACGGCUUACCAAGGCGACGAUGCGUAGCCGAUCUGAGAGGGUGAUCAGCCACACUGGAACUGAGACACGGUCCAGACUCCUACGGGAGGCAGCAGUCGGGAAUCUUGCGCAAUGGGCGCAAGCUUGAUGGAGCAACACCGCGUGAGUGAUGAAGGUCUUCGGAUCGUAAAGCGCUGUUGUUAGGAAAGAAAAAAAGUUUAUUAAACUCUGCCCGUCCUGACGGUACCCAAAGAAAAAGCCCCGGCUAACUUCGUG
rnacentral:rRNA from 1 species